AACGAACGUUAGCGGCGCGCCUAAUACAUGCAAGUCGUGCGAGAAAGGGCUUCGGCCCGCGUAAAGCGGCGCACGGGUGAGUAACACGUAGAUCAUCUCCCCUCGAGUGGUGGGAGUAAACCCCUCCCGAAAGGAGGACUAAUACAGCAUGAGACCACGACCUCGCCGAGGUCGCGGCCAAAGCAGGCCACUACAUGUAAGCUUGCGCUUGAGGAUGAGUCUGCGGCCCAUCAGCUAGUUGGUAGGGUAAUGGCCUACCAAGGCAAAGACGGGUAGCUGGUCUGAGAGGAUGAACAGCCACACUGGAACUGAGACACGGUCCAGACUCCUACGGGAGGCAGCAGUAGGGAAUCUUGCGCAAUGGACGAAAGUCUGACGCAGCGACGCCGCGUGAGCGAUGAAGGCCUUCGGGUUGUAAAGCUCUGUGGGGUAGGGAAA
rnacentral:rRNA from 1 species